rnacentral:rRNA from 1 species
GACGAACGCUGGCGGCGUGCUUAACACAUGCAAGUCGAACGGAAAGGCCUUGCUUCUGUUGGGUGCUCGGGUGGCGAACGGGUGGGUAACGCGUGAGUCACCUGCGCUUUCCUUUGGGAUAUCUUCAGUAAACUUGGGCUACUGCCGGUAAUGAGCGCCUGCUGUGCGGGGGGGGGUGGGAGGUUUCGGCGGUUGGGGAUGGACUCGCGGCUUAUCAGGUUGUUGGUGGGGUAGUGGCUUAGGAAGGCGUUGACGGGUAGCCGGCCUGAGAGGGUGACCGGCCACACUGCGACUACGAUACGGCCCAGACUCCUACGGGAGGCAGGAGUGAGGAAUGUUGCACUAUGGGCGGAAGCCUGAGGCAGCAACGCCGGGUGUGGGAUGACGGCCUUCGGGUUGUCGACAGCUUUCGCCUUUGACGAAGCGUGAGUGACGGUAAUGGGUAAAGAAGCACCGGCUAACUACGUG